rnacentral:other from 1 species
GGCUCUCUGCUAUGUUUGUGAUGGACAAGGAAACCUCGAACCAACGCACUUAACGAGGGGGCCCGACUCGCCCCGCGGUGUGCAUGCCUCCGAGUCGAGGAAGCCUAAAGCGUGGCUCAGGGCCCCCACUUGGUGACCCGGUUCAGGUCACCGGCCACACGGCAGCGCGGAGAGCCU